UUAAAUUGAAGAGUUUGAUCAUGGCUCAGAUUGAACGCUGGCGGCAGGCCUAACACAUGCAAGUCGAGCGGCAG
rnacentral:rRNA from 3 species